AUAGGCUUCUCCAAACAGAGCUGGGAACCAGCGCGACCGAGCCAAUGGAGGCUAAGGGAGAAGAUAAACACUUCACUUCACGCAUACUACUCCUCUACAAAGAGCAGGCUCUGUGCCUCCGCUCAGCCCUGCCACAGAACCGUCUUGUAACCACAUGCCCCUGGUCCCAAGGCCCUCUGUCUCUGGCUUGUCUGUUCCACCCUGUCUGAGACUUCAAUGGCUUGACUACACCUGUCAGUCCGUAUGCUACUGACAUCAAAAUGCGACGCUACAUCCACUGUCAAUCUCUCACAUCCAAAAGUGACAUCUAAACAUGGAAGGAAGGGGCUUGGUCAACGACAGGACAGGACGUCAGGCAGGCUUCCUCUGGUUGUGCCACCACCACAGACGGUUCCUGUGUCACAUUCUGACCUUUAUUUCCUUUGUUUUGUCUUUAUUUAGUUGGUCAGAGCGUGAGUUGGGGUGGGUUGUCUAUGUGUGAUUUUCUAUGUUGGGGUUUUGAGUUCGGCCUGGUAUGGUUCUCAAUCAGAGGCAGCUGUCAAUCGUUGUCCCUGAUUGAGAAUCAUACUUAGGUAGCCUGGGUUUCACUUUUGGUUUGUGGGUGUUUGUGUCCGUGUCAGUGUUUGUCGCCACACGGUACUGUUUCGGUUUCGUUCGUUUCACAUUGUUUUGUAUUUUGUAGUGUUCAGUUUAUGUCUUUAAGUAAACAUUAUGGACACUUA